ensembl:lncRNA
GAGUGUUUGAACAGGUAACUUCUACCUUUGGACCUUGAUUGCAACAGGUUCAAAGUUUCUAGAGGAGCUUGCUGAGCACCCUGAGGUCUGGAUGCAGUGCUUCAAGGUGUAGCCCAGUCCCAGGAGUUGUAGAAAAGGCAGGAGUAACUGAAUGCAGUGCUGAGCCAAUACAGCCAGUUGUUAGAGGAGCUUUCCUGCAUCCAGAGCCCUGGUCAGAUCCUGAUCAGUAUUCCUAUGAGGAGAAAUGAACGAAACAGUUUUCUGCCCCCGGACCACUCCUCAGGCUGAAGGGUUCUGUGCCUGCCAUGCGUUUUACACAGCAGCAUGAGCGCUCGGCUGAGCGUAGGAAGUGGGUUUCAUGGUGGAAACUCAAGGUUGUUGGAAACAAAUCUUGGAUAUAUUCCCAGGUGUAUUCACAUGAAAUGCCCUCACCUAGCAAUCAGAAGAUUUAAAGUCAGCUGCCUGAUCCAGAGUUGAGAUAAUAUGGAGUUGUACAUACUAUUGUUUAGCAAACAAAACAAAAUACAUAUUUCAGAUUAAACAAUGCGCACCAUCAAGGGUUACUUUCCCACUGAGACCAGUUCUGGCUUCUCUAAUUCAAACUCACUCCCCUGUUGUGCCCCAGCUCCCUUUCCUUACCUAUUCUUGCUAUUGUUGUUUUUGUUCCAUUUUAUAAUAAUGUAGUCAUUGUACAGGCUUGUUGUCAAACUCCCCAAUAGAAAAAAAAAUCUCACAAGGGCAGGAUUUUCACCACUGUAUCCUCAGCACCAGGAAGGAUGCCUGAGACAGAGUCAAGCCCUUCAGUAUUCUUUGACUGAAUGAUUGAAUACCUAAGACUUUCUGGAAAAUCCUUUCCUAACUUCUCUGCCAUCUGUCUUUUCCUAUGCGGGUUAUCCUUUCAGCAAUGCAAAUGCAUAUAAACUCAUCAUAAUUGGGAUCGUACUGUACUGUACACUCUUGUCCACAUGUUCUUUCUUUCUUUCUUUUUUUUUUUUUUUUUUUGGUACCAGGGAUCGAACUUGGGUCCUUGCACUUGCAGGGCAGGCAGCGCAUGUUCUUUCUUUUUUACUUGGCAAUAGAUCAUGGAGCUGUUUUCCUAUCAGCACAUACAGACCUCUGCCUGCCGGGAGGUCCGUUCUUCAAAAGUGCUAUAAUUUCCCUGAGUUACACCUUUCAGGGAGGAUUUGCCUGGGCUUUUGCUAAGGUUUGAGAGGAGGUAGCAGAGAUGGCUGUAAGCACAUCACAUGUGCAUUUACUCCUAAAGCACAGUGACAGCCUUAUCAUGGAGAUAUUAUGAUUGCCAUUUGACAGGUGAGAAGCCACACAGAGGUUAUCUGCCACAGGCCACAGAGAGGGUGCUAAGUAGGGCUUGACCCCAUGUAGUCUGACUCAAGAGACCAAAUGCUUAAUCAGUACAUUGUGCAUCCCCCAUGAGGCACUUUCUUGAGCUGAGGUCUUCCUACAGGGUAAAUUGAUGGUACAAUCAAAAGAUGUUUGGCCUUACCACAUUUUAAAUUGUGGUAGGAGCCAAUGGGCUCAUAUCUGAGAGGCUGCAUGCAUUUCAUUUUCCACAGUUAAUAAUUAAUAAUUAAAUAAUAAAUUAUAAUAAAUAAAUAAUAAAUAAUUUAUGAUUAAUAAUUAAAUUAGCUCUUUGCCUAUCUGGCUAUUUGAUACUUUUUUCCACUUUAGAUUUUGUGUCUGUUAUCCUUUCUGCAAGUUCAAUAUUUUUAAAUAUUCUUCUCCAAUCAAACUUGCCACCAUGUUCAUUUCUAGAUUUCAGGUUUUAUGUCUACUUUUUGUUUUUCCCAUACCAUCAGUAUAAAAACG